GUUAAUCAUUUUUUACGGUCCUGGCUGAAACCGGUCGUUGUCGUCGCCAUCGAAGUUGAUCUCAAUCAAAUCAAAGUCAAGCUCUUCAACAGAUAAAGCUUCGACGAUGUUCAGCUUAAUGAUGUGCCUCUUGGAGAUUACAUUGGAGUUCAAUAGUCCAAGAAUGCUACAUAUGUGCCUCACACUGCAGGUAGGUACUAAGUGAGGCAUGCCAUGGAAAUCUUUCACUUGCUAACUGAAAAUGAGGAUUUAUUGAUUUCUUAUUGGUUUGAUUUCCUGGAUGAUGGCAUUUUUGUAAUAGCUUUUGGAGUGGUUUUAUUUGAACUCAUUACUGGAAGAAAACCAAUUUAAACCAAAAGAUUUCCAUGAGAAGAGAAUUUAGUAUUACGGCCAUAUUAUCUGAAGAGUGGCAACACAACUACAAGGCAGACUGGAGGUUCCCUUGCUUCCUCAACAAAAUCAUUGGCGUCCCAGAUCAUGGACUUGAUGUUUGGAUUCUAUAUCAAACUUUAUCAUCCUUCCUAUUUUAUUAUAAGCAAUAUUUUUACUUGGUUAUUCAUACUCUCUAAAGAGG